rnacentral:lncRNA from 1 species
GGGUGUUGACGCGAUGUGAUUUCUGCCCAGUGCUCUGAAUGUCAAAUUGAAGAAAUUCAAUGAAGCACAGGUAAAUGGUGGGAGUAACUAUGACUCUCUUAAGGUAGCCAAAUGCCUCGUCAUCUAAUUAGUGACGCGCAGCCAAGGGAACGGGCUUGGCGGAAUGAGAGGUGUAGAAUAAGUGGGAGGCCCCUGGCGCCCCCCCGUACCCGCAAAGGGGCGGGGCGGGGUCCACCGGCCUUGCUGAAAUAAAAGAGGAUACAAACAAAUGGAAGAACAUUCCAUGCUCAUGAGUAGGAAGAAUCAAUAUCGUGAA